rnacentral:rRNA from 1 species
UACGUAGGGUGCAAGCGUUGUCCGGAAUUAUUGGGCGUAAAGAGCUCGUAGGCGGUCUGUCGCGUCUGCUGUGAAAACUCAGGGCUUAACCCUGAGCUUGCAGUGGGUACGGGCAGACUAGAGUGCGGUAGGGGAGACUGGAAUUCCUGGUGUAGCGGUGAAAUGCGCAGAUAUCAGGAGGAACACCGGUGGCGAAGGCGGGUCUCUGGGCAACAACUGACGCUGGAGGAGCGAAAAGCGUGGGGAGCGAACAGG